UACAUGUGAUUAUUAUGUAUUUACAUCAAGCAAAGCAAGCAAGCAAGCUGCAGCAUACACGACGGUGACAAUGCCUCCUCCUCCUCAAUACGAACUUGACGGCGGCUCUCGUUUUCGCAAUGUCAAGUUCGCUCCCAUCUCCGACCGCGAGAAAAAUAUCCUUCGCCAUCUCACAGGCAAGCUCACUUCCCUCUCCGAAACCCAGAUAUACCUCCUCUCCGAUGAAGAGUUAACUCGCCACGUCGUGUACGAGUUAUCUCACCUACCCUACGACGAGUUCUGUCGUUUCUUGGCGGCCGAGAUUUCCCCCUUCUUACCUAUCAUCGAUCGAGCAUAUUUAUAUCUGUUAUCUCAGAUUUACCGUAAAGUCGAAGCCAAACCCAAAGAGGAAGAACAAACGGGGAUAGUUGUUUUGAUUGUCGCCUCAGUUUCUAUCUUCGUAGUCACAACAAGAUUGGUGCGCAAUUUCUGCCAGUGGUUGAACACAAGAUUGCAAUAUUCUAAAGGUGAUUUCGUUGUUACUACUACCAUUUCUCUUAAGCCGGAGAAACCUUCAAAUAGUCCCAUUUUUUUCUCUAAAUAUUCAAUACCUGAACCUGAAGGUCUCCAGGGUUUUAAAGACAUUAUAUACCUUCGAAAAGCAAGACAGGAGCGACUGAUACCUUCAAAUAGACCCAUCGUUUCCUCCAAAUAUUCAAGAAGUGCAGAUGUGCAGGGUUAUAAAGUCAUUCAAAAAGCCAAAACAGUUUUUUGACAGAAAGUUGAGCAGCAUCAGGAAGGCACAUAUAGAGUUGUUGUUUGAAGCAGUAGAUCUACUGGCAAAGAGAAAAUCAGAUUAGCUUAAGAGAAGUUUGUUCCAAAAGGAAAGAUUCAUGAAGGUUGUAUUUUUUUUUUUUGAAGCAGAAAGUUUGUCAUUUUCACAACGUUGAUUGCAUGAGUUGAAUUUUACGAUCGGGUUAUUUUGUAAAUAAAACUUUGUGUGGUACUUAGCUUGAAUGUCUUAUACGGUACUAUGUGCAAAAGGUCCCUAUAUAGGUUUGAUUUUAAUCCUGUAAAUUUUUUAUUUCAAUAAUUUUGGUUGGUCCCUCAACAAAUUUAUUUGAU